UACGAAGGGUGCAAGCGUUACUCGGAAUUACUGGGCGUAAAGCGUGCGUAGGUGGUUUGUUAAGUCUGUUGUGAAAGCCCCGGGCUCAACCUGGGAAUGGCAAUGGAUACUUGCAAGCUAGAGUGCGGUAGAGGGUAGUGGAAUUCCCGGUGUAGCGGUGAAAUGCGUAGAGAUCGGGAGGAACACCAGUGGCGAAGGCGGCUACCUGGACCAGCACUGACACUGAGGCACGAAAGCGUGGGGAGCAAACAGG
rnacentral:rRNA from 1 species